rnacentral:tRNA from 1 species
UAGCUCAGUCAGUUGAGCGUGGUGCUAACAACGCCAAGGUUGCGGGUUCGAUUCCUGU